ACUCAAAUGAAUAGACGGGGGCUCACACAAGCGGUGGAGCAUGUGGUUCAAUUCGAAGCAACGCGCAGAACCUUACCUGGGCUUGACAUGCUAGGAUUAUCCGGGUGAAAGCUCGGUAGGCCCCGCAAGGGGUACAACUAGUACAGGUGCUGCAUGGCUGUCGUCAGCUCGUGUCGUGAGAUGUCGGGUUAAGUCCCUUAACGAGCGAAACCUUUGCCCUUAGUUACUAACGGGUUAUGCCGAGGACUCUAAGGGGACUGCCGGUGUCAAACCGGAGGAAGGUGGAGAUGACGUCAAGUCCUCAUGGCCUUUAUGCCCAGGGCCACACACGUGCUACAAUGGCGUCCACAAAGCGAACCUAAAGCGCGAGCUCAUGGAAAUCGCAGAAAUGACGCCCCAGUUCAGAUCGGAGGCUGCAACUCGCCUCCGUGAAGUUGGAAUCGCUAGUAAUCGCGGAUCAGCUACGCCGCGGUGAAUGUGUUCCUGAGCCUUGCACACACCGCCCGU
rnacentral:rRNA from 1 species